UACGGGGGGGGCAAGCGUUGUUCGGAAUUACUGGGCGUAAAGGGUGCGUAGGCGGUCCGCUAAGUUUGGAUGUGAAAACUCUGGGCUUAACCCAGAGCCUGCAUUCAAAACUGACGGGCUAGAGUUCUGGAGGGGGUAGCGGAAUUCCUGGUGUAGCGGUGAAAUGCGUAGAUAUCAGGAGGAACACCGGUGGCGAAGGCGGCUACCUGGACAGAAACUGACGCUGAGGCAACGAAAGCUAGGGGAGCAAACAGG
rnacentral:rRNA from 1 species